AGUGAACGCUGGCGGUAGGCCUAACACAUGCAAGUCGAACGGCAGCACAGUAAGAGCUUGCUCUUACGGGUGGCGAGUGGCGGACGGGUGAGGAAUACAUCGGAAUCUACUUUUUCGUGGGGGAUAACGUAGGGAAACUUACGCUAAUACCGCAUACGACCUACGGGUGAAAGCAGGGGAUCUUCGGACCUUGCGCGAUUGAAUGAGCCGAUGUCGGAUUAGCUAGUUGGCGGGGUAAAGGCCCACCAAGGCGACGAUCCGUAGCUGGUCUGAGAGGAUGAUCAGCCACACUGGAACUGAGACACGUUCCAGACUCCUACGGGAGGCAGCAGUGGGGAAUAUUGGACAAUGGGCGCAAGCCUGAUCCAGCCAUACCGCGUGGGUGAAGAAGGCCUUCGGGUUGUAAAGCCCCUUUGUUGGGAAAGAAAAGCAGCAGGUUAAUACCCCGCUGUUCUGACGGUACCCAAAGAAUAAGCACCGGCUAACUUCGUG
rnacentral:rRNA from 1 species